rnacentral:rRNA from 1 species
CCCUUAGAUGUUCUGGGCGGCCCGCGCACUACAUUGGCACUAGCAAAGAGAUCCUAGAUUGAAUUCUUUGGGGUAUUCUUCUAAAUGGUGUCGUGACUGGGAUAAAUCCUUGUAAUUAUUGGUUUUGAACGAGGAAUUCCUAGUAAACGCAGAUCAUCAAUCUGCAUUGAUUACGUCCCUGCCCUUUGUACACACCGCCCGUCGCACCUACCGAUUGGAUGGUCCGGUGAAGCCUCGGGAUUGUGGUUCUUGCCGCUUUAUUGUGGCGUGACCGCGAGAACUUGUCUAAACCUUAUCAUCUAGAGGAAGGUGAAGUCGUAACA